GGGGCGGUAGCUCAGUUGAUAGAGCGUCUGUUUCGCUUCACGGCGAUCAGAAGGUCGGUGGUUUGAAUCCAUCCCGCCCCACUA
rnacentral:tRNA from 1 species